rnacentral:sRNA from 1 species
CGAUCAGUCGAACACCGUCCAGGAAUGCGUCUCCGAAUUCAUUAGCUUCGUCACCAGCGAAAGGAUACAUGUAGAUGUAGCAAUUGUUUUGUAAGAGCCAAAGAAAAUGUACAUCGGCUUGGGUUAGCAGUUGCUAUUUCAUCCCACAGAUGGAGACGCUAUUGAUAUUGAGUAAUCUUCAAAGAAAGUCACCUCUUCAGAGAAGCAAUAUGGCAGCAUUCGUUAAGCACUUUCCAAGGUACGGACUUCACCAAUCCUAGGUUUUAGUUUGUUUCUAAUUUAUUGAGUUUUUAGGGGCAUAUUAUGUAAUUAAAGGGGAAGGAGGGGUCCAAUUUGGUUUCGAAAUCUUGAAUCUGAUCAAAUGAAAGAAUCAAAAUUCAAAGAUAAUAUGCCACCAAUCAUAGGACUCUGACUUCCAACUCUGCUGCUGCACUGAAGGAUCAUACUUUUCUUCAUACAUUGGAAACAUUUUUUGUUUUUUUUGGUUUUUUUUACUGAUAUUAGUAGCUUUUUAGGGUUGAACUAUUUGAUUUCACAGAUUCAUUACAGACACAUUACAUAGUUACAUUUUAAAUUCGUAUUUCAUAACUUGGUUGCUUGAUUCUAAUGUCGAUUCGUUACAACAGAAGCCAGACCUGA